rnacentral:rRNA from 1 species
AACGGGUAACGGGGAAUUAGGGUUCGAUUCCGGAGAGGGAGCCUGAGAAACGGCUACCACAUCCAAGGAAGGCAGCAGGCGCGCAAAUUACCCAAUCCCGACACGGGGAGGUAGUGACAAUAAAUAACAAUACAGGGCUCUUACAGAGUCUUGUAAUUGGAAUGAGUACAAUUUAAAUCCCUUAACGAGGAACAAUUGGAGGGCAAGUCUGGUGCCAGCAGCCGCGGUAAUUCCAGCUCCAAUAGCGUAUAUUAAAGUUGUUGCAGUUAAAAAGCUCGUAGUUGAAUUUCGGGGCGGGGGUGGCGGUCGCCUCUUACGGGGUCGUACUGCCAUCAAUUAACCUCGUCCUCUACCUUCUGGCGAGCCGGCAUGCUCUUAAUUGGGCGUGACGGGGAACCAGGACUGUUACUUUGAAAAAAUUGGAGUGUUUAAAGCAGGCUUUUAAGCUUGAAUACAUUAGCAUGGAAUAACGAAAUAGGACGGAUUUGGUUCUAUUUUGUUGGUUUCUAGGACCACCGUAAUGAUUAAUAGGGAUAGUUGGGGGCAUUAGUAUUCAAUUGUCAGAGGUGAAAUUCUUGGAUUUAUUGAAGACUAACUUCUGCGAAAGCAUUUGCCAAGGAUGUUUUCAUUAAUCAAGAACGAAAGUUAGGGGAUCGAAGACGAUCAGAUACCGUCGUAGUCUUAACCAUAAACUAUGCCGACUAGGGAUCGGGCGAUGUUACAUACCAAUAUGACUCGCUCGGCGCCU